UGUAGCUCAGUGGUAGAGUGCAUGCUUAGCAUGCAUGAGUCCUGGGUUCAACGUCCUAGUA
rnacentral:tRNA from 1 species